rnacentral:rRNA from 1 species
CCUACGGGCGGCAGCAGUGGGGAAUAUUGCACAAUGGGGGAAACCCUGAUGCAGCGACGCCGCGUGAGUGAAGAAGUAAUUCGUUAUGUAAAGCUCUAUCAGCAGGGAAGAAAAUGACGGUACCUGAGUAAGAAGCCCCGGCUAACUCCGGGCCAGCAGCCGCGGUCAUACGUAGGGGGCAAGCGUUAUCCGGAUUUACUGGGUGUAAAGGGAGCGUAGACGGCAGUGCAAGUCUGGAGUGAAAGGCGGGGGCUCAACCCCCGGACUGCUCUGGAAACUGUACGGCUGGAGUGCAGGAGAGGUAAGUGGAAUUCCUAGUGUAGCGGUGAAAUGCGUAGAUAUUAGGAGGAACACCAGUGGCGAAGGCGGCUUACUGGACUGUAACUGACGUUGAGGCUCGAAAGCGUGGGGAGCAAACAGGAUUAGAUACCCGAGUAGUC